rnacentral:rRNA from 1 species
AUUGAACGCUGGCGGCAUGCCUUACACAUGCAAGUCGAACGGUAACGGGCCUUCGGGUGCCGACGAGUGGCGAACGGGUGAGUAAUGUAUCGGAACGUACCUUUCAGUGGGGAUAACGUAGCGAAAGUUACGCUAAUACCGCAUAUUCUGUGAGCAGGAAAGCAGGGGAUCGCAAGACCUUGCGCUGAUUGAGCGGCCGAUAUCAGAUUAGCUAGUUGGUGAUGUAAAGGCUCACCAAGGCGACGAUCUGUAGCGGGUCUGAGAGGAUGAUCCGCCACACUGGAACUGAGACACGGUCCAGACUCCUACGGGAGGCAGCAGUGGGGAAUUUUGGACAAUGGGGGCAACCCUGAUCCAGCCAUGCCGCGUGAGUGAAGAAGGCCUUCGGGUUGUAAAGCUCUUUCGGCCGGGAAGAAAUCGUAUCAGCUAAUACCUGGUGCGGAUGACGGUACCGGCAUAAGAAGCACCGGCUAACUACGUGCCAGCCGCCGCCGUAAGAC